CCAGACUCCUACGGGAGGCAGCAGUGGGGAAUAUUGCACAAUGGGGGGAACCCUGAUGCAGCGACGCCGCGUGGGCGAGGAAGUAUUUCGGUAUGUAAAGCCCUAUCGGCAGGGAAGAAGAAAUGACGGUACCUGAAUAAGAAGCACCGGCUAAAUACGUGCCAGCAGCCGCGGUAAUACGUAUGGUGCAAGCGUUAUCCGGAUUUACUGGGUGUAAAGGGAGCGUAGACGGCAGUGCAAGUCUGGAGUGAAAGGCGGGGGCUCAACCCCCGGACUGCUCUGGAAACUGUACGGCUGGAGUGCAGGAGAGGUAAGUGGAAUUCCUAGUGUAGCGGUGAAAUGCGUAGAUAUUAGGAGGAACACCAGUGGCGAAGGCGGCUUACUGGACUGUAACUGACGUUGAGGCUCGAAAGCGUGGGGAGCAAACAGGAUUAGAUACCCCGGUAA
rnacentral:rRNA from 1 species